AUAUAUGGAGGAACACCGGUGGCGAAAGCGGCUCUCUGGUCUGUAACUGACGCUGAGGCUCGAAAGCGUGGGGAGCGAACAGGAUUAGAUACCCUGGUAGUCCACGCCGUAAACGAUGAGUGCUAGGUGUUAGGUCCUUUCCGGGACUUAGUGCCGCAGCUAACGCAUUAAGCACUCCGCCUGGGGAGUACGACCGCAAGGUUGAAACUCAAAGGAAUUGACGGGGGCCCGCACAAGCGGUGGAGCAUGUGGUUUAAUUCGAAGCAACGCGAAGAACCUUACCAGGUCUUGACAUCCCGAUGCUAUUUCUAGAGAUAGGAAGUUUCUUCGGAACAUCGGUGACAGGUGGUGCAUGGUUGUCGUCAGCUCGUGUCGUGAGAUGUUGGGUUAAGUCCCGCAACGAGCGCAACCCUUAUUGUUAGUUGCCAUCAUUGAGUUGGGCACUCUAGCGAGACUGCCGGUAAUAAACCGGAGGAAGGUGGGGAUGACGUCAAAUCAUCAUGCCCCUUAUGACCUGGGCUACACACGUGCUACAAUGGCUGGUACAACGAGUCGCAAGCCGGUGACGGCAAGCUAAUCUCUGAAAGCCAGUCUCAGUUCGGAUUGUAGGCUGCAACUCGCCUACAUGAAGUCGGAAUCGCUAGUAAUCGCGGAUCAGCACGCCGCGGUGAAUACGUUCCCGGGCCUUGUACACACCGCCCGUCACACGACGAGAGUUUGUAACACCCGAAGUCGGUGAGGUAACCGUAAGGAGCCAGCCCGCCUUAAAAGGG
rnacentral:rRNA from 1 species